UUACAGCUGCAGCAAAUGUGCAGAAUAUGAAAAGAAUUCAGAAUAGAAUUAGACCAGGAAUGAUGUUAAAUCCAGCCGUGUGCUCUAGAGACCCGGCAAGGUUGCAGGCAUCUCUAAGUGGACAGAAGCAGGUAACAUAUGACUGAAUGUAGGGGCCAGGACUAGGAGCUGAUCUGUUCACAAGACAGUGACUUAGCAAGUACAAAAUCAACAAAAAUCAUCCUGACCUCUCUACUUCUAACUCCUGUGUCCAAGCUAACAUCCCUGCUCAUGAUGCAACCUCAGCUAGCUGGAUUGCUUCAGCCUUGACUGAUGUGCACAUGCUCACAACAGAGGCGAAGGGCAGUAGAGUGAAGGCCCAAGGCUGUCACUGGUUAGCCUGUGGACUCGAGUCUCAGUUUUCUCAUCUGUAAAAUGGCAUAACAAUAAAUACAUCAUGCAGCCAA